CUCGCAUGCGCCAAAAUAGGGUAGGGCAGGUAAUUUUGACGCAGCUACUGCACACGUGCCCCCUAAGGAUCCCAUACCACCUUCCAUGGGUAAGCCAGCUUCCAGCUGUUUCGGCCUCAUUUCCGGAGCGGCCAAGUCACCAGAAGUGACGGGGGUAUGGUUCUAACAGGGUAGAACGGCAUUUGUGCAGCAUCAGAGCAUUGUUGUGGUAACCCUGACAGGCCAGGCUUACGAGAGUUGGAGGACCCUGCAAAAGGACAGACAAAGUCUCCUAUGCUCCACCUCUUGCAAAGGCCCAGUAAGAGAGAUCUUUGAUCUUACCUUCUUUAUCUGGCAAGAUCACGGCUAUAUGUGUAUGUAUUUAUGAGUAUGUUUUUGAACCUUUGGCCAAAUUUGUGCACUUUUUCAGAAAAUUUCUAAUGUCUCGAUUACCUACCUGUUUAAAAGAUAUGCAAGAUUAUUUUGUGCUGUAUUAUGGGUUUGAAAAUUUUGGACAAUGUAGCAUUAGCUACUCUGGAUGUACAAAUCUAUACACAAUCAGCCUAUAUGAAAUGGGCUUAAAAUCAAUGUCCACCAUCUUACCACGUUUAGAGAAUGAUAAAGGUCCUUCCAUUCAAUUCCUGUUCGUAUUGGAUCUUGUU